rnacentral:rRNA from 1 species
UACGGAGGGGGCUAGCGUUGUUCGGAAUUAUUGGGCGUAAAGGGCGCGUAGGCGGCCGAAUAAGUCUGACGUGAAAUCCCCCGGCCCAACCGGGGAACUGCGUUUGAUACUGUUCGGCUCGAAUCCGGGAGAGGGUAGUGGAAUUCCCAGUGUAGCGGUGAAAUGCGUAGAUAUUGGGAGGAACACCGGUGGCGAAGGCGGCUACCUGGACCGGUACUGACGCUGAGGCGCGAAAGCUAGGGUAGCAAACAGG